rnacentral:lncRNA from 1 species
AGAGGAGAAAAGUUCUCAAAAGAAUCAAUAAAAGGGUGGUGGAGGAGGAGAUGCAUACGAGACUCCGAUGACGGGUGGCAAAGGCCCUUCAUAUACAGGUGCAGGUGGUGGAGAUGACGGUGGUGGCGGUGAAUUGUAAUGAUAAACAGGUGUUGGAGGUGGCGGUGAUGGUGGUGGUGGUGAAUUAUAUUGAAUUGGGGGAGGUGGUGGUGAUGGUGAUGGUGGCGGAUGGUAAGGUGCAGAGUGUGGUGAUGGUGGUGGUGGUGAAUGCUCUUCACAAGGUGGUGGAGGUGGUGGCGGAGGAGGUGACUCUAUACAAGGUGGUGGAGAUGGGGGUGGCGGUGGUGGUGAAUAAACUGGUGGGGGAGGAGAGUGAACUGGAGGAGGUGGUGGCGGUGAUAAAUAGGGAUAAACUGGUGGUGGUGGUGGUGGUGAAUGUGGUGGUGGCGGUGGCGAAUGAGGUGGAGGUGGCGGUGGAGAGGCGGCGAAUACACUGGUGGUGGAGGUGGUGGCGAAUACACCGGCGGUGGGGGUG